GGUAUUGCUUCAACAAGGUUAGCAGGUUUAUAGAUACAUGUGGGUAUUGCUUCAACAAGGUUAGCAGGUUAAUAUAUACAUGUGGGUAUUGCUUCAACAAGGUUAGCAGGUUUAUAGAUACAUGUGGGUAUUGCUUCAACAAGGUUAGCAGGUUUAUAGAUACAUGUGGGUAUUGAUUCAACAAGGUUAGCA